rnacentral:rRNA from 1 species
UUAAGUGGGAAACGAUGUGGGAAGGCCCAGACAGCCAGGAUGUUGGCUUAGAAGCAGCCAUCAUUUAAAGAAAGCGUAAUAGCUCACUGGUCGAGUCGGCCUGCGCGGAAGAUGUAACGGGGCUAAACCAUGCACCGAAGCUGCGGCAGCGACACUGUGUGUUGUUGGGUAGGGGAGCGUUCUGUAAGCCUGUGAAGGUGUGUCGUGAGGCAUGCUGGAGGUAUCAGAAGUGCGAAUGCUGACAUAAGUAACGAUAAAGCGGGUGAAAAGCCCGCUCGCCGGAAGACCAAGGGUUCCUGUCCAACGUUAAUCGGGGCAGGGUGAGUCGACCCCUAAGGCGAGGCCGAAAGGCGUAGUCGAUGGGAAACGGGUUAAUAUUCCCGUACUUGGUGUUACUGCGAAGGGGGGACGGAGAAGGCUAUGUUGGCCGGGCGACGGUUGUCCCGGUUUAAGCGUGUAGGUGUGUGUUCCAGGUAAAUCCGGUUCACUUUAACACUGAGGCGUGACGACGAGGCACUACGGUGCUGAAGCAACAAAUGCCCUGCUUCCAGGAAAAGCCUCUAAGCAUCAGGUAACAUCAAAUCGUACCCCAAACCGACACAGGUGGUCAGGUAGAGAAUACCAAGGCGCUUGAGAGAACUCGGGUGAAGGAACUAGGCAAAAUGGUGCCGUAACUUCGGGAGAAGGCACGCUGACACGUAGGUGAAGUGAUUUACUCAUGGAGCUGAAGUCAGUCGAAGAUACCAGCUGGCUGCAACUGUUUAUUAAAAACACAGCACUGUGCAAACACGAAAGUGGACGUAUACGGUGUGACGCCUGCCCGGUGCCGGAAGGUUAAUUGAUGGGGUCAGCGCAAGCGAAGCUCCUGAUCGAAGCCCCGGUAAACGGCGGCCGUAACUAUAACGGUCCUAAGGUAGCGAAAUUCCUUGUCGGGUAAGUUCCGACCUGCACGAAUGGCGUAAUGAUGGCCAGGCUGUCUCCACCCGAGACUCAGUGAAAUUGAACUCGCUGUGAAGAUGCAGUGUACCCGCGGCAAGACGGAAAGACCCCGUGAACCUUUACUAUAGCUUGACACUGAACAUUGAGCCUUGAUGUGUAGGAUAGGUGGGAGGCUUUGAAGUGUGGACGCCAGUCUGCAUGGAGCCGACCUUGAAAUACCACCCUUUAAUGUUUGAUGUUCUAACGUGGACCCGUUACCCGGGUUGCGGACAGUGUCUGGUGGGUAGUUUGACUGGGGCGGUCUCCUCCUAAAGAGUAACGGAGGAGCACGAAGGUUGGCUAAUCCUGGUCGGACAUCAGGAGGUUAGUGCAAUGGCAUAAGCCAGCUUGACUGCGAGCGUGACGGCGCGAGCAGGUGCGAAAGCAGGUCAUAGUGAUCCGGUGGUUCUGAAUGGAAGGGCCAUCGCUCAACGGAUAAAAGGUACUCCGGGGAUAACAGGCUGAUACCGCCCAAGAGUUCAUAUCGACGGCGGUGUUUGGCACCUCGAUGUCGGCUCAUCACAUCCUGGGGCUGAAGUAGGUCCCAAGGGUAUGGCUGUUCGCCAUUUAAAGUGGUACGCGAGCUGGGUUUAGAACGUCGUGAGACAGUUCGGUCCCUAUCUGCCGUGGGCGCUGGAGAACUGAGGGGGGCUGCUCCUAGUACGAGAGGACCGGAGUGGACGCAUCACUGGUGUUCGGGUUGUCAUGCCAAUGGCACUGCCCGGUAGCUAAAUGCGGAAGAGAUAAGUGCUGAAAGCAUCUAAGCACGAAACUUGCCCCGA